GAACGCUGGCGGCGUGCCUAACACAUGCAAGUCGAACGAGGUCCAUGCAGUGGCAACACUGCGGAAGACCUAGUGGCGAACGGGUGAGUAACACGUGAGGAACCUGCCCCGAAGACCGGGAUAACCCCUCCGAAAGGAGAGCUAAUACCGGAUACCCCCACCUGGUCGCAUGGCCGGGUGAGGAAAUGGAUUCCGCUUCGGGAGGGCCUCGCGGCCUAUCAGCUAGUUGGUGAGGUAACGGCUCACCAAGGCAUCGACGGGUAGCUGGUCUGAGAGGACGAUCAGCCACACUGGGACUGAGACACGGCCCAGACUCCUACGGGAGGCAGCAGUGGGGAUUUUCCGCAAUGGGCGAAAGCCUGACGGAGCAAUGCCGCGUGGAGGAUGAAAGCCCAUGGGUUGUAAACUCCUUUUGUCAGAGAAGAAACAAUGACGGUAUCUGAAGAAUAAGCAUCG
rnacentral:rRNA from 1 species